rnacentral:rRNA from 1 species
AAAGGAAUAGACGGGGACCCGCACAAGCAGCGGAGCAUGUCGUUUAAUUCGAAGAUACGCGAAAAACCUUACCAAGGCUUGACAUCCCCUGCAUAGUAUGGAAACAUAUGAAAUUAUAGCAAUAUAACAGGGAGACAGAUGGUGCAUGGUUGUCGUCAGCUCGUGUCGUGAGAUGUUGGGUUAAGUCCCGCAACGAGCGCAACCCCUAUUAGAAGUUGCCAAUAUUCAGUUAGGAACUCUUCUAAGACUGCCGUAGAUAAUACGGAGGAAGGUGGGGAUGAUGUCAAAUCAUCAUGCCUCUUACGCCUUGGGCUACAAACGUGCUACAAUGGCAUCUACAAAGUGCUGCAAACCGGUAACGGGGAGCCAAUCACAAAAAAGAUGUCUCAGUUCGGAUUGUGGGCUGAAACCCGCCCACAUGAAGUUGGAGUUGCUAGUAAUCCCGAAUCAGCAUGUCGGGGUGAAUGCGUUCCCGGGUCUUGUACACACCGCCCGU